UAUUGGCUAGGUUCAUCAUAAUGUAGAUAAGAUAUUUCUUCAACAGUAGGAGGCGUACUUGAAGAAGGGGCGACCUCAGAUUCUACUGCUUCAUUUUCGGCUUUAAAGGUUCCUUGUGGAAAAGAAAACUCGUUCGCCGUAUUUAAAGAAACUGACACCGAUACAUUAUUAGAAGAAAUCGUAUCUGAAGAAGAUUGUCUCGCUGUGUCCGAACUUUCAUCCCCUGAAGAAGAAUCACUGGUUGACGAUAGGUCACUUGAAUCUGAAACUGAGCUUGAAGAUUCGGAAGAGGAUGAGUCAGAUUCCGAAGGAGUUGAAUUCUUUGAUUGAGAAGUCAACAAUGAAUUGAGCUCUGGUUGCUGUACUAUUGAAGCUGAAACGAAUUCUUGGUGCAAUGAUAAAUCGGAAGCAGAAAUUUGCUUAGCAU